ACUGAACAUAAACUCCUAGCCUUAGCGUCUACGUUGUCUUUUUUGUAUUGGCAAUAUGAUGUUCUGGCCGUGGCCUUAAGCCACCAGGGUGCAAGGUAGAAAUGCCUGCAUCUCCCGUAUUUGGAAAGGUGUUAUGGUACAACUCAC
ncrna:Yersinia pseudotuberculosis IP 31758 Moco (molybdenum cofactor) riboswitch